rnacentral:rRNA from 1 species
ACACAUGCAAGUCGAACGAGAAUCUGCUGAAGGAGGAUUCGUCCAACGGAAGUAGAGGAAAGUGGCGGACGGGUGAGUAACGCGUGAGGAACCUGCCUUGAAGAGGGGGACAACAGUUGGAAACGACUGCUAAUACCGCAUGACGCAUAGAGGUCGCAUGAUCUUUAUGCCAAAGAUUUAUCGCUUCAAGAUGGCCUCGCGUCUGAUUAGCUAGUUGGCGGGGUAACGGCCCACCAAGGCGACGAUCAGUAGCCGGACUGAGAGGUUGAACGGCCACAUUGGGACUGAGAUACGGCCCAGACUCCUACGGGAGGCAGCAGUGGGGAAUAUUGGGCAAUGGGCGCAAGCCUGACCCAGCAACGCCGCGUGAAGGAAGAAGGCUUUCGGGUUGUAAACUUCUUUUAAGAGGGAAGAGCAGAAGACGGUACCUCUAGAAUAAGCCACGGCUAACUACGUGCCAGCAGCCGCGGUAAUACGUAGGUGGCAAGCGUUGUCCGGAUUUACUGGGUGUAAAGGGCGUGCAGCCGGGUCUGCAAGUCAGAUGUGAAAUCCAUGGGCUCAACCCAUGAACUGCAUUUGAAACUGUAGAUCUUGAGUGUCGGAGGGGCAAUCGGAAUUCCUAGUGUAGCGGUGAAAUGCGUAGAUAUUAGGAGGAACACCAGUGGCGAAGGCGGAUUGCUGGACGAUAACUGACGGUGAGGCGCGAAAGUGUGGGGAGCAAACAGGAUUAGAUACCCUGGUAGUCCACACUGUAAACGAUGAAUACUAGGUGUGCGGGGACUGACCCCCUGCGUGCCGCA